rnacentral:rRNA from 1 species
UACGUAGGGGGCGAGCGUUGUCCGGAUUUAUUGGGCGUAAAGAGCUCGUAGGUGGUUUGGUAAGUCGGAUGUGAAAUCUCCAGGCUCAACCUGGAGGGGUCAUUCGAUACUGCCAUGACUAGAGUUCGGUAGGGGAGUGUGGAAUUCCUGGUGGAGCGGUGAAAUGCGCAGAUAUCAGGAGGAACACCCGUAGCGAAGGCGGCACUCUGGGCCGAUACUGACACUGAGGAGCGAAAGCGUGGGGAGCGAACAGG